rnacentral:rRNA from 1 species
GAUGAACGCUGGCGGCGGGCCUAAUACAUGCAAGUCGAGCGAACAGACGAGGAUCUUGCUUCUCUGACGUUACGGGCGGACGGGUGAGGAACACGUGGAUAACCGACCUAGAGGGAUGGCGUACGUCAGGGAACCCUAAUAUAGAACAGGUAAAGAGGUAGAACGUGGGGGUUCAACGGACAACACGGUCUUGGCUGUGCCUAGGUCGCAUUAGCUAGUUGGUUAGGUAAAGGCUUACCAAGGCGACGAUCCGUAGCCGGUCUGAGAGGGUGAUCGGCCACACUGGAACUGAGACACGGUCCAGACUCCUACGGGAGGCAGCAGUAGGGAAUCUUCCGCAAUGGGCGAAAGCCUGACGGAGCCACGCCGCGUGAGUGAAGAAGGUCUUCGGAUCGUAAAGCUCUGUUAUUAGGGAAGAACAAAUGUGUAAGUAACUAUGCACGUCUUGACGGUACCUACUCAGAAAGCCCCGGCUAACUACGUG